rnacentral:lncRNA from 1 species
AGAUCCUGCCACCCAGAUACUUAUACUCUAUGACCAUUAUGCUUUAUUUCUGGGCUCCUAAAUCUACUUUGUUUUGGAAGUAAUUCAGAUAUCAGAUUUAUGUAGUUAUAAUCUUGUCUUUUAGAUCCUCAUGCACUGUUUCUCAUUGUCAAUAUUUUCACUACAUCGCUCAAAUAUUUACUCUUCAAGAUGGAUUCUGCAAUCAUUUUGUCAGGAACAAAAAAAAUAUGAUAUUGAGAGUUUCAUUGAAAAAGUAACAUAUAAAUAUGAAUUUAAGGAACACUGACAUGUUUGAAAUAGUGAUGUUUUCCACCUAGGAACAAAGUAUUUCUCCCUUAAUUCAAUUCUCCUUUUGGUCCUUUGCCAGGUUCUACAGUCCUUUUACAUUAUUUUUAAUACUGUAAGCAGCCUUUCUCUGCAUGAAAGAGAACAAAUACUUUUAGAAGAAAAAUGUUAUUCUGAAUGUCCUGUGCUUAAUUACAUAGGCCUUCCAUCUCGUGCAGAUAUCCUGAGAAUGUAAUGAGUCUUGGUCCUCCUGCUCAGAGUGUGCUGGACUGGCAUCCUGAGGCUCCGGCUGCAGCUACAAUUUUAUCAUUUCCUGUUUUCUCACUUCUGGGAAUCCCAGACAUCCUUCUAGAACUUCCUGUGCCAUCAAUACUGAACAUGUGACAUUCUAGGCAACUUCACUCCUGACAUCUUUUUAUGGGUGCUGGCAGGUGGCCCAAUGCCACGCAUCUGGAAACCUACCCUGGACAUGUGGUGUUUCCUCCACUUACAGAGACCUGAGGGUGAGGAAAGAGAAAGUUUCCCAUUUCAAAGCUACAGAUCUUCCUUCUUUGAUACCCAAGCCUGAGUCCCAGAUCUCAUUGUCCUUUCUUUGUUUCAGCAGAAGCUUAAAAGAGUCUUUUGAUAUACAAAGGCAGGCCCAAUACAAGUGCAAAAUGAAAAGCCCAAUUUCUCUGCAUAAUAAAGUAAAGAGAAUUGAUGGUCACCUGAAAUAAGGUAAAAGUGGUAUUAAGAGGGUAACUGAAACAGGAGUGGAAGGGGCAGAAAUGACCACGGAACAUGUAAGUCCCAGAGGAACUGGAUAAUAGAACCAAUUUGAUUUAAAUUGCAAAAAAGCGAGGUGACCUUAGCUACCAUUUGGGUUAUGCAAUUCACCUCUCUUAACAGAACAUGCAGGCUGAGCACAACUUUCUCUCCACAGAAUAAACGUUGGGAACUGAGUCA